AUUAUUCCAUCCUGCGCGCGUUAUCUUGGUCGUCCCUGGUCCACCGGAGAUAAACAUAGUGUCGGUCGUCACUCCUGGCGGCGACGGUCACCUAUAAUCGAAAUGGAGCUACCAAUAGACUCCUCUGUUCACAAACUAUCCGAAUCUAAGGCUAUUUUUGAGCGAUUUAACCUCUAAGUUCCUAAUCCCAACCAAAUCCUCUAAGAACCCUAACACCAAUAACUCAAAUUAAAUUAUAAUCUCACUGGUUCAAAGCCCCAGGGGUGAGGGCUUUGAACCCUCUCAUCAUGUCCUACAUGUUGGCGAUGAAGGAAUGGGAAAACGUGAGGAUUUCAAACGUACCUUGCCGGAGAAUACGAUUUGUCGAUGAUGAGCUUCCAGGACUUAUAUUCAGUUUGGUACAUGGCAUUGCAGAAUUGGUGGUAUGAACUGAGGUGUUAUGUCAUGACCAGUGUGCAUUGUUGCAACACAAGCAAAUUCGUUGCAAGUCCACUGUGUUGGUUUGUGAAAUUGUUACUGGCAUUGCUUGAUGACAGGUUUUGGUAGCUUAGCUUGAUGUAAGUUUUACAUUGCUGCAGGAUGUUGUUGUUUGGCAUUGAUACAGGUAUGAACCAAUGAUUUUUUGGCAGUAUUUUUGAUGAAUUGUUGUGUAUAUAUUGUGGUCUGCAGGUUCUGUUGGUCCAUUGUUAUACUGCAUUAGUUUGCUCCUCAUGGAUGCAUAUUUCUGUCUUGGCUUUGCAGCAAGACAACCCAUUCCCCAGUUUGGUGCAGUAUAACAUAUAGUGUGACAUUUCUGUUUGUAAAAUCAUUAUUGACAUGGCAUUGCAGACUUUAAAACAAUGUUGCUGACUUAUGAUGCCUUGAAAAUUUUGAAGCCAUGUUGAUAUGCAUCUCAUGGUUUGUAACUGGUGUUGAUGUCCUCUUGUAGUAUUUGACCAAAUGGUAUGUAAUCAUUGCAAGGAUCCUGCACAUCUGGCUUGAGCUUGAAACAGGUAUUUGACAGGUUGACCUGAUGAAGUCCAGUUGUGGCUUUUGCACUGCAGGUUUUGACACACCGUUGCUGAUCCAGGAGGCAUUUCAGGUUGGAUUUUGACAAGGUUGGCAAUGAUGAUAUUUCCUACCAGUUAUGACCUUGGUUUUAUGCAAAAUGUUGGCAAGGUUUUGAGUGUGUCGCAGGAUUGGUUCCUAUUGAAUGUUACAGAUGCUACUGGUGCCUAGCCCAACUGAGGCUCAUGGAGCAAGGGUAAAGGUUGUUAUCCAAGGUCUGUCUCUACUUUCCAAUAUGUCAAUUGACUUCCUUGCAGGUUGCUGCAGGCAGGAUGGUUGUCAAGGACCAUGUUUAGAAAUGUGAAGCUAUGGUUGGAAAUGUAACAAAGUCCAAGUCAUGGCAUGGUGUACAAGAAGUUGUAAAAGAGUUAAAUUACUUGGAAAUGAAGAUACAAAGCAAAACAACCCAAACAUGAAUUUUGGAUGAUGAAUCAAUGAAGAAAGGAUAGAUUAGGUCUUAGGUGGUCAAAAAAUGGGUGAGUUGACUUUGGUCAAAGUUGACCAAAAAGUCAACUGUUGACCAAAGUCAACCCUUGGUCAAAGUUGUAAAAAUAUGUAUUUUUUCAUGUAAUGACUAAUGUAAUGGCUUGUAGUGGAUUUAAAAUGGAUUAAAAAUGGAUUGAAAUUAUUUUCCAA